CUUUUCAGUUGGUUGGAUUUAUCUAUCAGGGAUAUCGAGAAUGUGGUAUCUUUUCAGUCUUCUUAACUAGAAUAAAUAACAUAAAAAUGCUAGAAAAUCUUGAUAAAGGCUAAAGAAAAGAGUAUUGAAGAGUAGAGCAUUAAAACGUUAUUUUUUAAUUGAUCUCGUCAAACAUAUCGUCUUCUGCAGCUGAACUUAAGUAAGUCCGAUUGGGCCCUAUCUUCAGGGACUUUACAGUUGUGACAGAAUUUAUCUUCCCGGCGUGUGCGUAAUUGCAAUAUGAUGCAGAUCCAUCUGCAACAACCGGUGUUUUGUUCGUUUUUGCAAAAGCAGAUGACCAAGACCUAAAUUUGUUUGGUUGUCUUGCAGUGAGCGCGCAAGUCGCUUCAAUGCAUUAACCCUAGAUUGAAAAUCUCGCAAAUUAUAUUUACUUAGUUUUUGGGGUAUUUUAAUUUCCGAAAGUUCUAAGAGCAAAUUUUGUUUUGCUCAGAAAAUUCGAAAUAAACUAAUUGAAAUAGUUUUGCCAGGCUAAUUUUAACCCAAAAUAUUUUAACUUAGAAAUUUAAAGUAAUAAAGGAAUUUGUAAUUUGUUACGAACCUGUUUUGGUGUUGGGGCAAGGCCGGCUAGCCAGUCAUCCCAGGGCUGAGUUCUUCCCAGGCCCCCAGGUCGCACAACAAACCAACUGUUCGGACAUCUCAAACAAAUAUCAAAAACAAACGAUAAUUCAUAACAAUGCAUCGGACUUUACUCUACAUCUAACGGACAAACAUCUCUCCAACACAGACGUGGACAAGUCUGAGGUGCCGAUGGUCUAGCUCCUACGUACUCUACCUGAGAUGCGACUCAGAAUACCUCAGAUCUCCUUCCCAAGUGUGGCGGACUUUCUCCAUCGCGCAGUUGUGGUCCCCUUUCCCCCCCAUACUAAACACACUAGCACUUCAUUUCAAACGUUAUAAUAUUUAAAUCAAAAACUUAACACAUACUUAACUAAAAAUCCCUAUACUAAUGUCUCGUGGCGCGUCCGCCUAUUCCCGACUCUUCAACUUAAAUUAAUGGGUGGGAAUAAUCACAAAAAUAAUAAAUAUAAAUAUUAAAAUAAAUAUAAAUACAAAUACUACAUUUAUAUUACAUUAAUAGGGUCGGUAAAUAUAUGUGGGGCGGCUAAUUAAUUAAAUAUGAAUUAAUAUAGACAGAUAUUAUUUUGGUGUGUCUUUAUAAACGCAUGUAAAUAGGUAUGCGUUUAUGUAUGCAUGAAUUAAUUAUUUAAUUGUCGGUGGCGCCGUGGCGGGUCGCGCCCGGGCAGGGGUGUGACCAGGAUUCCGCGGGCCGGGGAAUGUUAAUUUUGGCCCAUCUACGGGAAGCCAGCCGAUACAAUUUAUGCCCUAUGGGUUUUAAAAAUAUUGAAUCUUGGAUUCAUUUUCCCUUUGGACUGGACUCACUUUUUAUUUAGAUUCGGGUAAAAAGGUCCUCUACGUUGGCCGGUCUGUUUGUUUUCCUAAAGGGUCACACACACAAAACGCCCUAACACUGCCGAUGUUUAUUUUUCCACUGCCGGCAUGUUCAGCGUAGCUACUCUACGCAGUCCCCCUUGCUGCAGCUGAUCUCAUCUCUUCUAUUGCCCUUGAACCAAAUUCAAGGGCAUAGCAUGGCAUUCUUGAGGGUGUGGGUGAGCUGGCUCGUGGAUCCCUCAAUAUUCCCCUCUCUUACAUUCCCCCCUCGCGCUCUUUCACCGGCACCGUUGAUCGCCUUGCCCCUUCGCCUAUCGACCUAUCAACCUCCAAAAAAAUACUACCAAAUCUAGUAUUUUGCCUAUCGCUCUCCUUCGAAUGCAACAAAUUUGACCUUUAUUCAUCAUCUGACACUAAUUUGAAUAAGUUUACCAAGCGUUUAGAGACCACGAAUAAGUCAGGGAAAAUCAGUUUUAGUUUUACUUCUACCAAAAUGGCAAAACUGCGUAGUCAUUUCAAAAGAUCUUCCAGAACCACACGUUUUCAUUUCACAGCCGGCAAUAAAUUAAAAUGGUCGGUUCCAAAUUCUCAUUUGUGCCCAUUUUUUUUAUCGACAGAAAAGUUUUCAGCACGAAUAUAUCAGUGACACCGAUUAAAUACUAGAAUCCCUCAUCGAGAGAAACAAAUAAACUAUCUUAUGUCGACAGAAACAAGAAACACGGAAAGCAACAAGCGAAACAAGUUCAAGUGGGCUAAAAACUAAAAUUAUUUAAAACCUAGUACUCAGAUCGAAAAACACGUUUGCUAGCAAACUGUGCAAUAUAUUUUGCUUGCAUCAGAGGGUGACCAGAGCUGAAAACCGCAUUCCGUACGGUUACACUUCUCAGGCAGCUGUGUUGUUUUGUUUACCUCUUUGAAAAUGUGUGAAAAUUUAAUACAAAUUUAAAUAAUUAGGCACAAGUCGUGUCUGGGCACACUGCAAGCACGUGGGGAAAAUAACCUCUACGCCAGGUAAGUAUUGGAGCAAAGCUGUAACAAGUUACAUAUUACGACGUGGCGAUUUCCCCCUUGUAAAGGCGGGUGGCCAAAUAAUUCCCCUCUACCUAAGGGUAGAGCGGUAACUUAAAACCUCAACAAAAAAAAAUAAUACAAAUUUAAUUAAACAAUGAAUGCAAAAUGGAUCCAUGCUUUAGAUGAAGCAAUCUAAUGCAUGGAUCCAUUUUGCAUCCAGUGGGAUUUGCGGCUCUUGCAUGAUCAGAGGAAAAGGACAAUCAACGAAAUAAGCGCCGACAACUUUGAUUAAACCCAUAUCUGCAGGAAAGAAACCAGAACGGUCGUUUUUCUAUGCAUUUGAGUAUUAAAAAUCAUAUAAAUAUGUGUGCCUUUAUGGAAACCCAUGAAACAAUACCCUUUUGAAUAUUCCUCAGUUUGAAAAUAUGACAAAGAAUUUGCAUAUUUCUGAGAAUAACAUCUGCAGCCUUCUUUGAUUGGUGGAGCAGCAAGACCGUGCCAAGGAAUAUAUGCGCCCUUGGCAAAGUUGUAAAACAGAGCACCCUUCCUAUUGAAAACUGGACAGUUUUGAGUCCAAAUCGCCGCCUUUGCCCCUCCACGGCACGACCCUGUGGAACAGUACUUGGUUCCAAAAGGAAAAGAACUUAAAACGUUUUGUUAACAGCCCAGCCGGGUCUGUGUCUUGGCAACAUGAAGCAACUGGCGUUCAAAUAAGUUAAACAAAUUAAAAAUACAAAUAAAUUUAAUAUAAUCUCAUUCAUCUAUAAUAAUUGUUUCCUUUUUUUGCCGUUUGGUGGCCUUAAGCUAGUUUAAAAGGUCAAUAAAACUCC
rnacentral:lncRNA from 1 species